rnacentral:rRNA from 1 species
CCUACGGGAGGCAGCAGUGAGGAAUAUUGGUCAAUGGGCGUAAGCCUGAACCAGCCAAGUCGCGUGAGGGAUGAAGGUUCUAUGGAUCGUAAACCUCUUUUAUAAGGGAAUCACGUGUGGGACGUGUCCUAUUUUGUAUGUACCUUAUGAAUAAGGAUCGGCUAACUCCGUGCCAGCAGCCGCGGUAAUACGGAGGAUCCGAGCGUUAUCCGGAUUUAUUGGGUUUAAAGGGUGCGUAGGCGGCCUUUUAAGUCAGCGGUGAAAGUCUGUGGAUCAACCAUAGAAUUGCCGUUGAAACUGGGGGGUGUGAGUAGGUGUGAGGCAGGCGGAAUGCGUGGUGUAGCGGUGAAAUGCUUAGAU